AGUGAACGCUGGCGGUAGGCCUAACACAUGCAAGUCGAACGGCAGCACAGUAAGAGCUUGCUCUUACGGGUGGCGAGUGGCGGACGGGUGAGGAAUACAUCGGAAUCUACUUUUUCGUGGGGGAUAACGUAGGGAAACUUACGCUAAUACCGCAUACGACCUACGGGUGAAAGCAGGGGAUCUUCGGACCUUGCGCGAUUGAAUGAGCCGAUGUCGGAUUAGCUAGUUGGCGGGGUAAAGGCCCACCAAGGCGACGAUCCGUAGCUGGUCUGAGAGGAUGAUCAGCCACACUGGAACUGAGACACGGUCCAGACUCCUAAGGGAGGCAGCAGUGGGGAAUAUUGGACAAUGGGCGAAAGCCUGAACAAGCCAUACCGCGUGGGUGAAGAAGGCCUUCGGGUUGUAAAGCCCUUUUGUUGGGAAAGAAAAGCAGCAGGUUAAUACCCCGCUGUUCUGACGGUACCCAAAGAAUAAGCACCGGCUAACUUAGUG
rnacentral:rRNA from 1 species